AAUGUGAAUUGCAGAAUUUAGUGAAUCAUCGAAUCUUUGAACGCACAUUGCGCCCCUUGGUAUUCCGAGGGGCAUGCCUGUUCGAGCGUCAUU
rnacentral:rRNA from 1 species